AGAGUUUGAUCCUGGCUCAGAGCGAACGGCGGCAGGCCUAACACAUGCAAGUCGAACGGGCCCUUCGGGGUCAGUGGCAGACGGGUGAGUAACGCGUGGGAACGUGCCCAUCGGUUCGGAAUAACCCAGGGAAACUUGGGUUAAUACCGGAUACGUCCUUUUUGGAGAAAGAUUUAUCGCCGAUGGAUCGGCCCGCGUCUGAUUAGCUAGUUGGUGGGGUAAUGGCCCACCAAGGCGACGAUCAGUAGCUGGUCUGAGAGGAUGAUCAGCCACACUGGGACUGAGACACGGCCCAGACUCCUACGGGAGGCAGCAGUGGGGAAUAUUGGACAAUGGGCGCAAGCCUGAUCCAGCCAUGCCGCGUGAGUGAUGAAGGCCCUAGGGUUGUAAAGCUCUUUCACCCCACGACGAUAAUGACGGUAGUGGGAGAAGAAGCCCCGGCUACUUCGUGCCAGCAGCCGCGGUAAUACGAAGGGGGCUAGCGUUGCUCGGAAUCACUGGGCGUAAAGGGCGCGUAGGCGGACCUUUAAGUCAGGGGUGAAAGCCUGUGGCUCAACCACAGAAUUGCCUUUGAUACUGAGGGUCUCGAGACCGGAAGAGGUUGGUGGAACUGCGAGUGUAGAGGUGAAAUUCGUAGAUAUUCGCAAGAACACCAGUGGCGAAGGCGGCCAACUGGUCCGGUUCUGNNGCUGAGGCGCGAAAGCGUGGGGAGCAAACAGGAUUAGAUACCCUAGUAGUCC
rnacentral:rRNA from 1 species